rnacentral:rRNA from 1 species
GUCAACGACCAUACCACCUUGAAAAAACCGGUUCUCGUUCGAUCACCGAAGUUAAGCAACGUCGGGCAUAGUAAGUAUAGACCGUUAGGGAAAGCUAUUGGCAUUCUUUUAGC